AUUGCAAUCAAUGAAUUUUCCUUUUGGCGCUCGCGCAGUUCAGCGAGUGCUGGCAUCUCGAGCUGCCAGCUUAAUGGAUUCCGGAAUUCCAAUACCAAAAUAUAAAGCCAGCGCAUUGCGUUACGCCAACCGAAAGUGGGUCUUACGUAUAGCUCCACACUCAGCGUUGGCAAUGCUGCGCGCCAACUAUUUAAACCUCCCUCAUAGGUGAACUCCUCGUAGCUCUCGUCGCACUCGUCGCACUUGACCUCGCAGCACCAGCGGAACUGGCAGCGGCACUGCGUCGUCCGCCGAAUGUGCUGCGUGUUGUGGCCACGCCCACAGCAGAGCAGGUCGCAGCUCUGGGGGCCGUGGCCGGUCCGCUGGCAGGUGCGGCCGGCGGUGCCCUGGCUGCCCGUCUGCAGACUCCGCUCGCAGUAGUUGGGCGACGCCUCCAGGUAGAUGAGCUCCAUGCGCUUCGGCCAAUCGAGGACCGGUUUCUGGGCACGGGCGGUGCCGGCAUGCUUCUUUCUGCAAGAAAAAACGGGGGAAGGAAUGUGUUAAAUACUUCUAAAAAUAUGGAUACAAUCUACACUUGAUGUUCUUGGGAUUUUUUAAAUUAUUCAUGUAGCGCUCGAUCAAAAAUGAGUUAAGGUUAAACCUUACCAAACUACACCCGACAAACAUUUUUGAUUUGAUUUUUGAAAAGGACAUAGUUUUAUAUUAUUGUUAUAUAACAUUAUCUUUAACAAACACUGUUAAAAGUGUUUCCUUUUAAAAAGAAUCAUUUCUCACCUGCUUAAUACUAAUCUCAGUCCACGUUUGCCUUUGACGGCUUGAACAGUUUUGGCUUUUUGAUACUUCAGCAUGAGCCUAUCGCCGAGCAGACGAAAGGGCGGCAGGCUCUUCCAGCAGGUCUUCAUCACGCAGGAGCCACUGACGCCAUGGCACUUGCAGUCCGUGCGCAGCAUCUUCUUGACCAGCUGAAAGGGUUAAAUGUAGCUAUAUAAUAGUGCUUAUUUUUUGAUUUAUUUAAUGUAUUUAAUAUAUUAUACGUGUUAGUCAUACGCACCGUUCUUCCUGCCCGGUUAUUGUGCAGGUUCAUCAGCGUGCGGGAGUCCCGCUCCAAUUCGCGGGCAUCCAUGAAUCUGCGCGCAUACCGCAUCCCGAAAUCCACGUCCGCCGAACAGCCACCCCACUUCCAAGGCUCGUCGGGCGUACCUCCGCCAGUGGGCGUGGCCUUGUGCCGCACAUCACAGCCGCAGGUGGAGAUGUUGCCGCGGGCACAGGCGGCGGUCACCGCGUACGCCGCUCCGGCACUUGCUAUCGCAUAGGUGUAGGCAGCCUCACGCGAAGCUGAAACAAAGGAUAUUGAUUGCACGCCGGAUGGAAACUGUAUAACUCCCCGCGAAGGCGUUUGCAGCGAAAUGAGAAUUAGGAUGCAGAUGUAGAUCCAGAUGCAGAUGCACUCACCUGUGGGUAUGACAUGGGCGAAGACGUUGCGCUGCCACACCUCCGAGCAGUUCCAGCGGUGGCCCCGGAACUGGUGCUGGCACUCCUGGGCGCCCAGUUGGUGGCCCUCGCCCAGGGCGAUCAGGGCGUCGGGCAUCUCGCGGCACAUAUUGCGCUGGCCCGGGGUCAGGCCGGGAAUCCGGCCACAGAGCAUGGCGGAUGUAAAGCUGGACACUAAUCUGACAAGAAGGCAAAACAAACAGAACCAUAAAUAACACGCUGUAGAGCCACAAUAGGCAAAUGGGCAAAUAAAUAAAUAAAUAAAUGACAAACGAACGCCUAUCGAUCGAACGAUCGAUCCCAAUCCAAAUCGAUCGUUCGAUUGGCAAUGGCUGCAAAGCUGAAAAGCUGAAAAGUCGUGCACAGCAAACGCCGCCGGCUCUUUUGGGCUGGCUGAAUGCAUUUCCAUUUCGUUUGCCAUUGGAGGGUUCAGUUUCUGCUCCGAGCUGUGAGCUCCAAGCGGCGGGCCGCAGCUCCAGAUCUCAGCCAAUCGAGUCGAGUCUGUCCAAGAUUAAUGCGCUGCAGUUGUCUGCCGCACAGGGACAAAUUUUUUUGUAAUUUAUCAAUCGAACUAUAUGGGUUUUUCUUGAAAAUAAAAUAUGUUAAGCAGAGCAUAUGGGAUACUUAGUUACGUUUGGAGCACGUUUGGGUACUUGGACUUCAAAACUGAACUCUGUUUUGUCCUUAUUCCCAAGAGUUGCAAAAAUUGUGUGUGAGUAUACGGACAGUUACAGUUAGCUUUACAGAAAUACACAUGUUUGAACCUAAAAAUAUUUUCAAACUUGGCAAUAAAGUCGGAUAUUUACAGCUUAAACAAUGUUUAUUCUCUUUCAUAAUUGAUUAAAAUAGCUUAGAAGAUUUUUAUGUAUGACUGCUAGUUUCUUCUGAAUGUUCCUUGUGUUAUUUAAUUAUUUUAUAACAGUAGUUCUUUUCUUCCUGUGCAUCUAUGGCAGGUGGCUGUGGGCUUGGGCGUUGUACUGUCAGCUUUAGUCAAAUCCCAGCCGCCAGCUGUAUUAUUAGCCAUAAUUGCACGGAGAUGCAGAUGGAGUUGGAGAUGGAGAAGCAUGGCCAUCCGUCGUGACUCGCUGGAGUGUCUAAUCAAGUCGCGUUUACUUGAGCUUCAGCUUUAACUUCAGCUCCACUUGAGUUGUCGGGUUAAAUGGCGGAAUUAAUGCUCGCAGUCAAAAAUGGCAAAUGGGAUUAAUGAGUUUUGACAAUGAGUUGCAAAUUGCCAAUUUCAGAUAUUUCUCUCCCUCAAUCGCGCUGCACUGCCUCCCACCUGCCUCCCACUUGCCACCCACUCCCGAGACGUGUCGGCUGUCUAACCUGUCGACUCGCGGCUGCCAAACCAAUCAGCAUCAAACAGCUGCGGCAAUAAUCAUGCGAUCGAUCGAUCGCCUGCUCGCCUUUUGGCCAUGGACCGGGUUACAGCCAGGAAAAGCCAGAGAAACACAUCCCGGGGCCAAACAACUGGCGCACGGGUGGGCAACCCCGAUAUUAAAAUACAAAUGCAACGUAAACUUUGAUUGCCAGCCACAUGGUUACACCGAAACAUAUAUCUAUUACUUGUGAUUGGAUAUGGUUGAAAGCCAUAUGCGCGUGCCACAGAUUUUCUGCAAGGGCUUAUAAUACUAUAAGGCCAGUGUGGAUAGGAAAAGCAAAGGUUUUAAUAAUGUCAUUUUAGUUUUAAAGGUAGCUUGAAUAUUCAAACGUACUUUCUUGCAAUAACUACCGAAAAAGACUCCGAUUUAUCCAGAAGUUUAAAAUUGAAAAACAUUUUCUGGCAGCCUUAAUGGGAACUUUGUAGAGAUCUGUAUGCAUUAUGUCAAAAUCUAGAAAUGGGCACUUGACAUUCCGAUACCAAAUACUAUUUCGAUUUAUAUAGUAUUCUAAAAGUCCGAAACCGAGUUUUUAUUUUUCUCUGUGUCUACAAAUGUAAAUGGCUUUCGAUACCUGCCACUCGAGUGUCUCCACUCCAGCUCCAACUCAGCUCCAAGUGGAGCUGGAGCUCCAGCUUACGAGGCACUCUUAAACGCAGCAAUUAAAUCAAUUUACAGAAAUUACACAUUUUACCAACCGCAGAGGAGCACGAAGACAUGAGCUUAAACCCUCGGCAAAACGUCGAUGGUCGAACGCUGAUUUCUGAUAUGGGAUCGCCUUUGUUGUUGCAGGUUUGUCGAACACGCUGUUAACAUGGCUCAAACUGGAGUCGAGCGUCGGCGAUGGACGGCGAAAUUGGUGGUAAAACUAAUAAUUAGGCCCGUUUAACAGGGCCGAAAGGAAGGCACCGCAGACCUUCAGCCAACUCUGUGGCCAAACUUGGCCCGAAAUACGCGAUCGAUCUGUCAGCGCAUCCGCUUGGCCAGUCAGUCAUCCAAUCAGUCAGCCAGUCAGGCACUCAGUCAGUCAGUCAAUAGCUUUUACGUGCGUUCGCCCAGCGUGACCGUCAAGCCCCCCGCACCCACAUUCACAUGGUGGAGGGUAUACAGUACUCCAAAAGCAGCCGGCAAUCAAGGCGGCCAUCUCCAGCUCCUCGCAACUCUUUUGUUUUUAGCUGCUUUAUUUAAUUUGUCGCUUGGCCCGCCCGUCUGCUGUUUGCCUGUUGCAUGUCAACGCCGACAAUUUCAUCAUCAUCAUCGCCAUUACCAGAACAGAUUUCAGUUCCAGACCUAUGCACAGCGAGAAAACUAUGCGCACUUUACAAUAAUAGUUUAAAUUGAGAUUCA